UGGGGAAUAUUGGACAAUGGGCGAAAGCCUGAUCCAGCCAUGCCGCGUGUGUGAAGAAGGCCUUUUGGUUGUAAAGCGCUUUAAGUGGGGAGGAAAAGCUUAUGGUUAAUACCCAUAAGCCCUGACGUUACCCACAGAAUAAGCACCGGCUAACUCUGUGCCAGCAGCCGCGGUAAUACAGAGGGUGCAAGCGUUAAUCGGAAUUACUGGGCGUAAAGCGCGCGUAGGUGGUUAUUUAAGUCAGAUGUGAAAGCCCCGGGCUUAACCUGGGAACUGCAUCUGAUACUGGAUAACUAGAGUAGGUGAGAGGGGAGUAGAAUUCCAGGUGUAGCGGUGAAAUGCGUAGAGAUCUGGAGGAAUACCGAUGGCGAAGGCAGCUCCCUGGCAUCAUACUGACACUGAGGUGCGAAAGCGUGGGUAGCAAACAGGAUUAGAUACCCUGGUAGUCCACGCCGUAAACGAUGUCUACCAGUCGUUGGGUCUUUUAAAGACUUAGUGACGCAGUUAACGCAAUAAGUAGACCGCCUGGGGAGUACGGCCGCAAGGUUA
rnacentral:rRNA from 1 species